CAGCUUUAAUAAAUUUUGUAGAAACGGCUUGAUCGUUGGAAGAGCUUGCCGUUGGAACAUUGGAGCCUAGCCGUUGGGAGAUUGAUGCUUGAACGUUGGAGCCUAAGGCCAGCUGGACUAGCCGUUGGAGAUUCAUGCAUUUGAAGUCAUGGUCUAUAAAAUCAGGGCAAGAGAGGGUAAGAGGAUUUGUGGUAGGGAGUGGUAGUGGGACUGAGAUUCAUACAUUUGAAGCCAUGCUCUGUAAAAUCAGGGCAAGUGAGGUAGAGAUUCAUACAUUUGAAGCCAUGCUCUGUAAAAUCAAGGCAAGAGAGGGAGAGAGGAUUUGUGGCAGUGGGACUGAGCUUUGCAUUUGCAUUGGAGUGUUGGGUCAUUGGACAGAAGGUGCUUACGGAAUUAUUUGUCUCUUUGAAAGAUUUAGAAACUGAGUCCCAACGUGCGAUGGCUAAAAGGACUUGACAGUGAGCUGGUUGUGAUCGAUCAGGAUCACUUAUUCUUGGUUCUCUGCUGCCUUUGAGUUUUGUUCUUUUCAGAGCCUUGGAUUCAUGUGUUGUGUAGACAAGAUGACUAUGGGUUGAUGGCACUAGUUAUGGUUGGACAUCAUUGGCUCCAUUUUGGGAUGUUCUCUUCUAUACUGGAUUUCACAACUUCCUUUAUAUCUAAUGCGGUUGGCUAUAUAUCUGGGGGGUUUAUUUGGGAUGCCUAUGGGCUUUUGUAAUGAGUAGAUAUGAUUAUGUUCUCUUGAGCAAUACUGAAGGGUUUUCUUACUGGUUCUUUCCCUUCAGUGCUCUUUGAACUAGACACCUGUAAAAACUCAAUAUUUAAUAUAAUUUUAGUGGUUCCAUCCACUUUUAUCAA